rnacentral:misc_RNA from 1 species
GACAGAGGGUGCUAGCGUUGUUCGGAAUGACUGGGCGUAAAGGGCGCGUAGGCGGUUAUAUUAGUCAAGCGUGAAAGCCCCAGGCUUAACCUGGGAAUUGCGCCUGAAACGGUAUAACUAGAGGACGAGAGAGGAAAGCGGAAUUCCUAGUGUAGAGGUGAAAUUCGUAGAUAUUAGGAGGAACAUCAGAGGCGAAGGCGGCUUUCUGGCUCGUUACUGACGCUGAGGCGCGAAAGCGUGGGGAGCAAACAGG